rnacentral:rRNA from 1 species
GACGAACGCUGGCGGCGUGCCUAAUACAUGCAAGUCGAACGGUUUAGUUCCAAGAGGCUUGCCUCUUGGAACUAGACAGUGGCGGACGGGCGAGUAACACGUAGGCAACCUACCUGUCAAACCGGGAUAACCGCGGGAAACCGAAGCUAAACCCGGAUAAGCCCCUUUUUCGCCUGACGGGGGAGUGAAAAGGUGCGACCGGAUGACAGAUGGGCCUGCUGCGCAUUAGCUAGUAGGUAGGGUAACGGCCUACCUAGGCGGUGAUGCGUAGCCGACCUGAGAGGGCGUACGGCCACACUGGGACUGGGAUACCGCCCCGGCUACUACGGGAGGGCGCAGUAGGGUAUCUUCGGCAAUGGGCGAGAGCCUGAGCGAGCAACGCCGCGUGAGUGAGGGAGGCCUUCGGGUUGUAAAGCUCUGUUGUUUGGGAAGAAGGGAAAGGGUAGGACCCUUAGGUGACGGUACCAAACGAGAAAGCCCCGGCUAACUACGUG